rnacentral:rRNA from 1 species
AGAAUGAACCGGCGAGUUACUGUAUGGAGCGAGGUUAAGCAGGAUAUGCGGAGCCGAAGCGAAAGCGAGUCUUAAGAGGGCGAAAGUUGCAUGCAGUAGACCCGAAACCGGGUGAUCUAGCCAUGACCAGGUUGAAGUUGGGGUAAAACCCGAUGGAGGACCGAACCGACCCCCGUUGAAACGUUGGCGGAUGAGUUGUGGCUAGGGGUGAAAUUCCAAUCGAACCCGGAGAUAGCUGGUUCUCCCCGAAAUAGCUUUAGGGCUAGCGUCGAGGUAGAGAGUUGCGUGAAGGUAGAGCACUGAAUAUGUGAUGGCCCCAUCUCGGGGUACUGAGCAUAAUCAAACUGCGAAUGUCACGGAAACAUACUCGGCAGUCAGACAGCGGGUGAUAAGGUCCGUUGUCAAGAGGGAAACAGCCCAGACCAUCAGCUAAGGUCCCAAAAUGUAUGCUAAGUGGAAAAGGAUGUGGAGAUGUACAGACANNNNNNNNNNAGACAACUAGGAGGUUGGCUCAGAAGCAGCCAUCCUUUAAAGAGUGCGUAACAGCUCACUAGUCGAAUGACUCUGCGCCGAUAAUUUACCGGGGCUAAGCAUACUACCGAAGCUAUGGAUCCCAAGGGAUGGUAGGGGAGCGUUCCAUGAACGGAGAAGCGUGAUCGAGAGGACGCGUGGAGAUCAUGGAAGAGAGAAUGCCGGUGUGAGUAGCGGAACGUGGGUGAGAAUCCCACGCACCGAAAACCCAAGGUUUCCAGAGGAAGGUUCGUCCGCUCUGGGUAAGUCGGGACCUAAGGCGAGGCCGAGAGGCGUAGUCGAUGGACAACAGGUAGAGAUUCCUGUACUCAUAUAUAUGUGAAGGAAUGACGGAGAGAGGAAGCUGCAGCCAGCGGCUGGAAGAGCUGGNNNNNNNNNNGAAGAGCUGGUGCAAGCGAGAUAUCGGGAUGGCAGGCAAAUCCACCAUCCGAAACGAGAAGGCGUGAAGCGUACGGAAAGCUAAGGCGAGUACGGAAGGCAGUGGAGGAGCUUCCAAGAAAAGUUUCUAACGAAAGUAUAUGUGACCCGUACCGAAAAUGGACACACAUGGGUGAGGAGAGAAUCCUAAGGUGAGCGAGAGAACUAUAGCUAAGGAACUCUGCAAAAUGACUCCGUAACUUAGGGAGAAGGAGUGCUCAUAGAGAUAUGAGCCGCAGUGAAACGGCCCAAGCGACUGUUUACCAAAAACACAGCUCUCUGCUAAGCCGCAAGGCGAAGUAUAGGGGGUGACGCCUGCCCGGUGCUGGAAGGUUAAGGGGAGGGGUUAACGCAAGUGAAGCCCUGAACUGAAGCCCCAGUAAACGGCGGCCGUAACUAUAACGGUCCUAAGGUAGCGAAAUUCCUUGUCAGGUAAGUUCUGACCCGCACGAAAGGCGUAACGAUUUGGGCGCUGUCUCAGCUGUAGACUCGGUGAAGUCUUAGUACCUGUGAAGAUGCAGGUUACCCGCGACUAGACGGAAAGACCCCAUGGAGCUUCACUGCAGGUUGAUAUUGGGAUUUGAUGCAGCAUGUACAGGAUAGGUAGGAGGCAAGGAGAUGGAUACGCCAGUAUUCAAGGAGCCGCUGUUGGGAUACUACCCCUGUUGUAUUGGAUUUCUAACCGGACGACGUAAAGCCGUUGACGGGACAGUGUCAGUCGGGCAGUUUGACUGGGGCGGUCGCCUCCCAAAGAGUAACGGAGGCGCCCAAAGAUACNNNNNNNNNNNNNNNNNNNNNNNNNNNNNNAAACCAAGCGCAGAGUGCAAAGGCAAAAGGGUGUUUGACUGCGAGACCCACAAGUCGAGCAGGGACGAAAGUCGGGCUUAGUGAUCCGGCGGUGCUGAAUGGAAAGGCCGUCGCUCAACGGAUAAAAGCUACCCUGGGGAUAACAGGCUGAUCUCCCCCAAGAGUCCACAUCGACGGGGAGGUUUGGCACCUCGAUGUCGGCUCAUCGCAUCCUGGAGCUGAAGUCGGUUCCAAGGGUUGGGCUGUUCGCCCAUUAAAGCGGUACGCGAGCUGGGUUCAGAACGUCGUGAGACAGUUCGGUCCCUAUCCGGCGCGGGCGUAGGAUAUCUGAGAGGAGCUGUCCUUAGUACGAGAGGACCGGGAUGGACAGACCGCUGGUGCAUCUGUUGGCAUACCAAUGCCAUGGCAGAGUAGCCAAGUCUGGACGGGAUAAACGCUGAAG